rnacentral:rRNA from 1 species
UACGUAGGGUGCGAGCGUUGUCCGGAAUUACUGGGCGUAAAGAGCUCGUAGGUGGUUUGUCGCGUCGUCCGUGAAAACUCACAACUCAAUUGUGGGCGUGCGGGCGAUACGGGCAGACUGGAGUACUGCAGGGGAGACUGGAAUUCCUGGUGUAGCGGUGGAAUGCGCAGAUAUCAGGAGGAACACCGGUGGCGAAGGCGGAUCUCUGGGCCAUUACUGACGCUGAGGAGCGAAAGCGUGGGGAGCGAACAGG